rnacentral:lncRNA from 1 species
GUUCAAAUGACUUCCCAAACAGCCUCUGGAACGCCAACUGUAAAAGAUGGAUUUAUUUGCUCAGUCUCCUUCCUGAAGCAUGUAUCUUAGAUGGUGUAGCUCUCUGUAUCCGACAAAAUGGCGCAUAAUCAUCUGUGAAAAUUGGAGGUCUGCAUGCUUCUCAAAUUGAGCUGUAACACUCACUGCUGCGGUCCAAGCCUUCAUUCUUUGAAGCCCGUGGAACCACAAACUCUUCAAUUGAUAAAAACCUUCGAUCGGAAGAGACUUCUCAUCUCAUUUCUGGGGGCCUGUCCGGGAUUUCUCUGAAGUGAAUAGAAUCCAUGAAACUGCAAGUGGUUCUACAAAUGGAGCCCCAAAUGACCACCACUAGCACCUACUAUCGAGGACCCCUAGACUGACCUACCAACCUGUUCUAACACCACGACACUGAAGAAGACUCCCCUCCUGAGGAACCCUCAACUGCAGAUCCCCUUCUGUGCCCCAGUUCAGCAGGAAGUAGCUAGAAUGAUCAUUGCCCAACUUCUCAACAGCACUUGGGCUUUCCUGUUGAGAGGGGGUACUGAGGCACUAAGUGGCUAAGUUAGCUAGACUUCCUGGGUCAACAGGGACUUCCCUAAGGGGACAUUCCUCUAAGCCAAAAUGAGUCAUAGCUGCAAGCUAAGGGAUUGAAACUUCAACCAAUCAAAGGGGACUUUCUCCUAAGCAAAAAUGAGUCACUGCUGCAAACUAAGUGAUUGAAACUUCACCCAAUCAUAUAGGGAGUUUAAGCUUUAGCUGCAGCCUGAUGUUUUUAACCAAUCAGGCCUGCCAACCCACAAGCAGAUAGAAAAUAAGCUAAUCCUAUGGGACAGAAAAAGGAAAAGGGGAGGAGUCAUAAGAGGAUAUAAGCAUAAGACACCCAAGCCAGAAACGGAAACCCUUCCGGGUCUCCUUCCACCACGUGGAAGCUUUACUUUUGCUUUUACUUUACUUUCACUUUAAUAAACCUUGGCGCUGCACACUC